rnacentral:rRNA from 1 species
GUGGGGAAUAUUCCGCAAUGGACGAAAGUCUGACGGAGCAACGCCGCGUGAGUGAUGAAGGUUUUCGGACUGUAAAGCUCUGUUGUUUGGGACGAAAGUGCCUGUUGCGAACAGUUACGGGUAUUGACGGUACUAAACGAGGAAGCCACGGCUAACUACGUGCCAGCAGCCGCGGUAAUACGUAGGUGGCAAGCGUUGUCCGGAAUUAUUGGGCGUAAAGAGCAUGUAGGCGGGAAUCUAAGUCUGUUGUUAUAAUGCGGGGCUCAACCCCGUAUUGCGAUGGAAACUGGGUUUCUUGAGUGCAGGAGAGGAAAGGGGAAUUCCCAGUGUAGCGGUGAAAUGCGUAGAUAUUGGGAGGAACACCAGUGGCGAAGGCGCCUUUCUGGACUGUGUCUGACGCUGAGAUGCGAAAGCCAGGGUAGCGAACGGGAUUAGAUACCCCUGUAGUCC